rnacentral:rRNA from 1 species
UACGUAGGGGGCAAGCGUUGUCCGGAUUUAUUGGGCGUAAAGAGCGUGUAGGCGCCAGACAGGUCCGUUGUGAAAACUCGAGGCUCAACCUCGAGACGCCGAUGGAAACCGUCUGGCUAGAGUCCGGAAGAGGAGAGUGGAAUUCCUGGUGUAGCGGUGAAAUGCGCAGAUAUCAGGAAGAACACCCGUGGCUAAGGCGGCUCUCUAGUACGGUACUGACGCUGAGACGCGAAAGCGUGGGGAGCGAACGGG